AUUGAACGCUGGCGGCAGGCCUAACACAUGCAAGUCGAGCGGAUGAAGGGAGCUUGCUCCUGGAUUCAGCGGCGGACGGGUGAGUAAUGCCUAGGAAUCUGCCUGGUAGUGGGGGAUAACGUCCGGAAACGGGCGCUAAUACCGCAUACGUCCUGAGGGAGAAAGUGGGGGAUCUUCGGACCUCACGCUAUCAGAUGAGCCUAGGUCGGAUUAGCUAGUUGGUGGGGUAAAGGCCUACCAAGGCGACGAUCCGUAACUGGUCUGAGAGGAUGAUCAGUCACACUGGAACUGAGACACGGUCCAGACUCCUACGGGAGGCAGCAGUGGGGAAUAUUGGACAAUGGGCGAAGGCCUGAUCCAGCCAUGCCGCGUGUGUGAAGAAGGUCUUCGGAUUGUAAAGCACUUUAAGUUGGGAGGAAGGGCAGUAAGUUAAUACCUUGCUGUUUUGACGUUACCAACAGAAUAAGCACCGGCUAACUUCGUGCCAGCAGCCGCGGUAAUACGAAGGGUGCAAGCGUUAAUCGGAAUUACUGGGCGUAAAGCGCGCGUAGGUGGUUCAGCAAGUUGGAUGUGAAAUCCCCGGGCUCAACCUGGGAACUGCAUCCAAAACUACUGAGCUAGAGUACGGUAGAGGGUGGUGGAAUUUCCUGUGUAGCGGUGAAAUGCGUAGAUAUAGGAAGGAACACCAGUGGCGAAGGCGACCACCUGGACUGAUACUGACACUGAGGUGCGAAAGCGUGGGGAGCAAACAGG
rnacentral:rRNA from 1 species